rnacentral:rRNA from 1 species
AUUGAACGCUGGCGGCAGGCCUAACACAUGCAAGUCGAACGGUAACAGGAAACAGCUUGCUGUUUCGCUGACGAGUGGCGGACGGGUGAGUAAUGUCUGUGAAACUGCCUGAUGGAGGGGGAUAACUACUGGAAACGGUAGCUAAUACCGCAUAACGUCGCAAGACCAAAGAGGGGGACCUUCGGGCCUCUUGCCCUCUGAUGUGCCCAGAUGGGAUUAGCUAGUAGGUGGGGUAACGGCUCACCUAGGCGACGAUCCCUAGCUGGUCUGAGAGGAUGACCAGCCACACUGGAACUGAGACACGGUCCAGACUCCUACGGGAGGCAGCAGUGGGGAAUAUUGCACAAUGGGCGCAAGCCUGAUGCAGCCAUGCCGCGUGUAUGAAGAAGGCCUUCGGGUUGUAAAGUACUUUCAGCGGGGAUGAAGGGAGUAAAGUUAAUACCUUUGCUCAUUGACGUUACCCGCAGAAGAAGCACCGGCUAACUCCGUG